GAUGAACGCUGGCGGCGUGCUUAACACAUGCAAGUCGAACGGAAAGGCCCUGCUUGCAGGGUACUCGAGUGGCGAACGGGUGAGUAACACGUGGGUGAUCUGCCCUGUACUUUGGGAUAAGCCUGGGAAACUGGGUCUAAUACCGAAUAUGACAAUUGUUUGGAUGCGAUUGCGGAAAGCUUUUGCGGUAUGGGAUGAGCUCGCGGCCUAUCAGCUUGUUGGUGGGGUAAUGGCCUACCAAGGCGUCGACGGGUAGCCGGCCUGAGAGGGUGUACGGCCACAUUGGGACUGAGAUACGGCCCAGACUCCUACGGGAGGCAGCAGUGGGGAAUAUUGCACAAUGGGCGCAAGCCUGAUGCAGCGACGCCGCGUGGGGGAUGACGGCCUUCGGGUUGUAAACUCCUUUCGCAACCGACGAAGCCUUUUGGUGACGGUAGGUUGAGAAGAAGCACCGGCUAACUACGUG
rnacentral:rRNA from 1 species